rnacentral:rRNA from 1 species
UACGGGGGGAGCAAGCGUUGUUCGGAUUUACUGGGCGUAAAGGGCGCGUAGGCGGCGCAACAAGUCACUUGUGAAAUCUCCGGGCUUAACCCGGAGCGGCCAAGUGAUACUGUCGUGCUAGAGUGCGGAAGGGGCUACUGGAAUUCUCGGUGUAGCGGUGAAAUGCGUAGAUAUCGAGAGGAACACCUGCGGCGAAGGCGGGUAGCUGGGCCGACACUGACGCUGAGGCGCGAAAGCCAGGGGAGCGAACGGGG